rnacentral:misc_RNA from 1 species
UUUCCGUAGGUGAACCUGCGGAAGGAUCAUUAUCGUACAAAAUGUGAGGGGCAUGCGAGGGCUGUCGCUGACCCAAAAGUCGUGCACGCCCGAGUGUGUCCUCUUGCAUAAUAAUCCAUCUCACCCUUUGUGCACCACCGCGUGGGUCCCCCUUUGGCUUGUUCGGAGGGGGGCUUACGUUUUCACACAAACUUUGUAUGCAGUGUAGAAUGUAUUUUUUGUUUUUGCGAUCACGCAAUCAAUACAACUUUCAACAACGGAUCUCUUGGCUCUC